rnacentral:rRNA from 1 species
GAUGAACGCUAGCGGCAGGCUUAAUACAUGCAAGUCGAGGGGCAGCAGGUCUGUAGCAAUACAGAUGCUGGCGACCGGCAAACGGGUGCGGAACACGUACAGAACCUUCCUUCGAGCGGGGAAUAGCCCAGAGAAAUUUGGAUUAAUACCCCAUAGUAUUGUGGAGUGGCAUCACUUUACAAUUAAAGAUUUAUCACUUGAAGAUGGCUGUGCGGCUGAUUAGGUAGUUGGCGGGGUAACGGCCCACCAAGCCUGCAAUCAGUAACUGGUGUGAGAGCACGACCAGUCACACGGGCACUGAGACACGGGCCCGACUCCUACGGGAGGCAGCAGUAAGGAAUAUUGGUCAAUGGACGAAAGUCUGAACCAGCCAUGCCGCGUGGAGGAUGAAGGUCCUCUGGAUUGUAAACUUCUCUUAUCUGGGACGAAAAGGAUCUUUCUAGAUC